AACCGAGUGCGCUGUGUCUUCAUUGCUCCUGAACUUUACCUGUAUUUGCAGUGAUGACGGGGACGGAGACUGGGAGGAAGAAGCAGCUGUUCCUGUGUGACUAUUGCUGGAACAUCAGAACGAAAAUAAAACUAACCUAUAGUGAAUGAAA